AUUAAUCUUGUGAGAUGAGGUUUUCUGAGAAGGAUACUUGAGAGGAAGGGGGAAUGGCUUAGCUCAAUCCCUGAAGGUCACAGCAUUGAUAAACACACACUGGAGAUGAAUUCAGAGGUGUCUGUGUACAUUGGAUUGGUUGAGGGAGCUGGUAACUGAAGACCAGAGAAGAGAAGAAGCUGCUAUUGAAUGCUUAUCUGUUUCCUUUAGAAAUGUGAGGUGCUGGUUAAGAGACUCAGAUAAACUCCCUCUGUGUUGGCUAAGCACUCGCAGCCCUAACCUUCCUGCAGAACUGUCCUUCACAUAUCUGGCUGCUGUCCUGAAAUCAUCCCGACCAAGGUAAUUGGACAGAAUGCUGUUAACCCUUGAUACCAGAGACUCUCAAAAACUAACUCCAUACACGCUGGUGCCAAGGAGCUAGCAGAGUUCAAACGGUCUGAAUCCGAAUGCUCUACAAGUUACCUCCUGUAGGGUGUUUGCAUUAAUCAUUGCUGGACUCCUGCAUGUCUUUGCAUUAAAAUGUGUUGUGGCUGUUUACCCCUG